AACGAACGCUGGCGGCGCGUCUUAAGCAUGCAAGUCGAACGGCAAGGAAGUGCUUGCACUUCCCUAGAGUGGCGGACUGGUGAGUAACACGUGGGUGACAUACCUUUUAGUUGGGGAUAGCUAUUAGAAAUAGUAGAUAAUACCGAAUGUGACCAUUACAGUUAGAGUGUAAUGAGGAAAGGAGCUAAGGCUCCGCUAGAAGAUUGGCCCGCGGCCCAUUAGCUAGUUGGUGAGGUAACGGCCCACCAAGGCAAUGAUGGGUAUCCGGCCUGAGAGGGUGAUCGGACACACUGGAACUGAGACACGGUCCAGACUCCUACGGGAGGCAGCAGUGGGGAAUAUUGGGCAAUGGGCGAAAGCCUUACCCAGCAAUGCCGCGUGUAUGAAGAAGGUCUUCGGAUUGUAAAGUACUAUAUUGGGGAAGAACACAAAUGAACGGUACCCAAGAGAAAAAGCCCCGGCUAACCUAUGUG
rnacentral:rRNA from 1 species